CAGCAGCCACGGUAAUACAGAGGGUGCGAGCGUUAAUCGGAUUUACUGGGCGUAAAGCGUGCGUAGGCGGCUUCUUAAGUCGGAUGUGAAAUCCCUGAGCUUAACUUAGGAAUUGCAUUCGAUACUGGGAAGCUAGAGUAUGGGAGAGGAUGGUAGGAUUCCAGGUGUAGCGGUGAAAUGCGUAGAGAUCUGGAGGAAUACCGAUGGCGAAGGCAGCCAUCUGGCCUAAUACUGACGCUGAGGUACGAAAGCAUGGGGAGCAAACAGGAUUAGAUACCCGCGUAGUCCCUGUCUCUUAUAC
rnacentral:rRNA from 1 species